rnacentral:rRNA from 1 species
UACGAAGGGGGCUAGCGUUGUUCGGAAUUACUGGGCGUAAAGCGCGCGCAGGCGGUUUUUCAAGUCAGUGGUGAAAGCCCGGAGCUCAACUCCGGAAAUGCCAUUGAAACUGUUAAACUUGAGGAUGAGAGAGGUGAGUGGAAUUCCCAGUGUAGAGGUGAAAUUCGUAGAUAUUGGGAAGAACACCGGUGGCGAAGGCGGCCUUCUGGGACAUUCUUGACGCUGAGACGCGAAAGCGUGGGUAGCAAACAGG